rnacentral:lncRNA from 1 species
AGUCCUGCAGCGCCUUGAGCUCCUUGGCUGCUUUGCUUUUGAGCACCUGGGGGUUAAUGGGGCCAGAGACGUGCACCACUCACAGCACCGUCUCAUCCAGCUGCGUCUUGGGAGCCACUUGGAGGCGGUUCACCAGCUUCUUGGCGGCCACCACCACCAGGUGCACCAACCCAGUGGGCGUAGGUGGGGACCGGCCUGAGUAGAGGAGGAACUGAUGGUCUCCGACCUUCUCCAGGGUACUGGUGAAGGCCUUGGGGGCUGGGCCGGCAGUGGGCCUCACAGUCUGCAGCGCGGCCGCGCGCUCCGUGGGGUUGUUGAGCUGGAUGCGCUGCAGGUAGACGUGGGGUCGGCCCCUGUGCGCCAGAAAGUCCUCUUGCAGCAGCACGCAGUCGCGGCCGGACCCCGCGGCAAGGCCAGAGACGGAGGCGGGCCCGGGGCCGGCGGCCACGGGGCCAGGACCUGGGGACCCCAGCUGCAGGCAACGCACGCGGCGCAGCAGCCCCUCCCGCAGCAGUAGCACCGCCUCUCCAGCUUCAGCCAGCGCGCUCAGCGGGCGCAGCUGCACGAAGGGCACAAAGUCCGGCGCCACUGCGGGCUCCCGCUCCCCGGGAGUCACCCACAGCCGAUUGGCAGCCAUGUCCAGGGCCAGGAAGCCGUUGGCCACCAGGGCCGGCACUCCAGGGCCCAGCGGUACCGCCUCGCCGCGCUCCCGCAGGCCGCGCCAGGCGCGGGUGGCCGCCUCCAGGCAGGCAGACGGCUCGGCGGCGCCCGGCUCACCGCGGGACCAGGGCAGCAGUAUAAAACUUUUGGCCAGUCCUGGUGGCUCACACCUGUAAUCCCAGCACUUUGAGAGGCCGAGGUGGGCGGAUCACCUGAGGUCAGGAGUUUGAGACAAGCCUGGCCAACCUUGUGAAACCCCGUCUCUACUAAAAGUACAAAAACCAGCCGGGCAUGGUGGCAUGUGCCUGUAAUCCCAGCUACUCAGGAGGCGGAGGCGUGAGAAUCACUUGAACCUGGGAGGUGNNNNNNNNNNAGCCUGGGCAACAAGAGUGAAACUCCGUCUCAAAAAAAAGACAAAAAACCUUUGGAGGUGAAUUUUUGUCCUGCUGCUGAGAGGUACAUGGCUUCUGUGUUUUUGCGUUUCAGGUAUCGAGAACCUUCCCUGCGAACUUCAGAGGAACUUCCAGCUGAUGCGAGAGCUGGACCAGAGGACGGAAGGUGGGUUCAGACCUCUGGGUACAACCAGAACUGGGUUCUGACGGGUGGGAGCCAGCAGCUCCUGAAGGCUGGGGGCAGAGGGUUUUGAGGGGACCCGGGUUAGUGGGGCAUUGGCCUAGCCCUGGGCCGUGGGUAUCACUCAGCAUGCCACCACACCCGGCUAAUUUUUUGUAUUUUUAGUAGAGACAGGGUUUCACCAUGUUCACCAUGUUAGCCAGGGUGGUCUUGAUCUACUGACCUCAUGAUCCGCCUGCCUAGGCCUCCCAAAGUGCUGGGAUUACAGGCAUGAGCCACCGCGCCCAGCCCUUAAACUCCCUGUUUCUAAACAACAUGUUUUUGUUGCUGUUUCUUAUUUUAUCUCUCGUCAGUUUUAGACGUUGUUCAGCCGUAUAUGGCACAGGCAGCUGUACUUCUCCAGUGGCCCCCACACCCUCACAUGCCCUCACCUGGCUCCCCCGUCUCCUGGCUGUAGUUUGUUAGAAUUUGU